rnacentral:rRNA from 1 species
AACGAACGCUGGCGGCAUGCCUAACACAUGCAAGUCGAACGAAGCCUUCGGGCUUAGUGGCGCACGGGUGCGUAACACGUGGGAAUCUGCCCUUCGGUUCGGAAUAACAGUUAGAAAUGACUGCUAAUACCGGAUGAUGACGAAAGUCUAAAGAUUUAUCGCCGAAGGAUGAGCCCGCGUAGGAUUAGGUAGUUGGUAGGGUAAUGGCCUACCAAGCCGACGAUCCUUAGCUGGUCUGAGAGGAUGAUCAGCCACACUGGGACUGAGACACGGCCCAGACUCCUACGGGAGGCAGCAGUGGGGAA